UGUCCCAGAAUAUUGUGUGUACCACGUGUACCACUCUUCAUUUCUUUGUUUUAUAAAUUGUUUUUUAUAAAAAUAAAAAUUAUUAUUAUAUUAUAAACUCUAAUUAGUAUUUAUCAUUGAAAAAUUAAAAUUUAAAAAAUUAUAUACCCUAACUUUGAAUUAAUGAACCCAAAUAAUCUAUUAUUAAUUCAAAUAAAUAUAAAAAAAUAAUUAUAAACCCUAAAUGAAUGAGUGAACCCUUGUUAAUUAUCUUUAUAUUAUAUAAAAGCAUAAUAAAUUAAAAUUGAAUAAAAAAUAAUUUAAAAAUAUAA
rnacentral:lncRNA from 1 species